AGCUUUUCGAAUCCGUGCAGAGAUUUCGUCAGACACCAACAGAUACCAGCUGAUCAGACUUCCAAGAUAAGUGAAGUU
rnacentral:pre_miRNA from 1 species